AUAAUAUCGGGUGCACCCGGGUAGGGAGUCGGAACACAGCCUUUGGUGGGAACCGGAAUGUUGUCUUUUUUCUAUCUUCGUCUUUGCUUAUGUGUUCACAACAGGAUACAAAUCUAACAAUAAGUCUGAGUCUGAGAAAAUCUAUACGAGAUUCACUAUCUGAGAUACGAGAGUUUUGUACUUGAGUGUAAAAACAAAGCAAAAAUAUAGAUCGCUGAUUAGAAGAAACAAAAUCUAGUCUCAUGAGUAACAUUAAGCAGGGUUUUAUUGCUGUACAUGUGGGUGCUGGGCAGCACUCUGCAUCCCUUAAAGAAAAAUAUCAAAAGUUGUGUCACGAAGCAUGCAAAGUGGGAGCUCAAAGUUUGACAUCCAAUGGCAAUGUAUUAGAUGCAGUGGUGGAAACAGUAAUGGUGCUGGAAGAUUCACCCAUGACAAAUGCUGGAUUUGGAUCAAAUCUUACCUUGAAUGGAACAGUAGAAUGCGACGCGAGCGUGAUGGAUGGCAAUAGUUUACAGUACGGUGCAAUUGGUGCAGUUAGUGGAAUAAAGAAUCCAGUUCUAUUGGCAAAGCGUUUGUGUGAACAACAAUCUGUUAAAUUUGCAUACGGCCGAAUCCCACCUAGCUUUUUAGUUGGAAAUGGUGCACAUAUUUGGGCACAUGAGAUGGGCAUACAGACAUUACCACCGGAACAAUUAAUAUCAAUGAGAGCUCAAAAAAUAUACAAACACUACAAAAGAAAAGUGGAAGAUUGCAGUGUAGAAGCUCAAAAGUGUGCUAAGAAAAGAAUGGACACAGUAGGUGCAAUAUGUGUUGACGGCGAUGGAAAUAUUGCUGCGGCUUGCUCGAGUGGUGGUAUAAUUCUGAAAUAUCCUGGAAGAGUUGGGCAGGCUGGGGUAUGGGGUUGUGGUGCCUGGGCUUGCAAGGAUACUUCUUAUUCAGUGGGCGCCAGCACGUCAGGUUGCGGGGAACAUCUUGUGCGCACCUCGUUAGCGCGUACAGUUGCAGAAGCUAUUUCUAAUACCUCUUGUCCGACUACGAGUCUCCAUCGAGCGAUGAACGUAGAUUUUAUCGGUGCAUCACAGAUUCGAAAUUUCUCUAUGGGCUCGAACAGAAACUAGGCGGUGUCAUCGCUAUACGUUAUUCGCCACAAGAAGGAUUGGGCGAUUUUCUCUGGAGCCAUUCUACGAAUUCCAUGAUAAUAGGUUACAUGAAUACAUGUCAACAUACACCAGUGAGUUACAUGUCGGCCUUACCAUCGCACGAGGUAGGUAAGAAAGCUAUUGUCGAAGGUGUCUGCUUCAAGAUAAAAUCUGAAGCAGAGUCUGAGUAAAAUUAUAUACAUUACCUGUGAUGUAAUAAGGUUUUGUAAAAAUAAUUCGUAGCCUAAAAUACUUUAUAUACGAAAUUUUUAUAUGGAUUCACGCCAAUUUCUUUCAUGAAAUUCACACAUAAUAGUACUGCCAGAUUGAAUCGUUUUACAUAGUCACAAUUUUGCGAGAUACAUAUAUAUUUUCCUAAAUUUUUAACUUAUGCAUAUAAAUACAAUGAAUCCUGAUAACAGUUUAAAAAAAA